rnacentral:snRNA from 1 species
AUCACUUCUUGGCCUUUUGGCUAAGAUCAAGUGUAUUUUUUUAAACUCUUGAACAUGAGAAAUAUUUAAUAAAUAUUUAAUAUUUCAUUCUCUGUAGCUUCU